UACAUCGUUCUGCCUUCUAUAGCUUCAGUCUACCGCCUUACCUCAAAAGUGUAACACCUAAAUUUUUUAUCCUUAAGUAUUCAAAAUGUUCAUUGGCCCAGUUCAAAAAGAGCAUCUGCACCAGAUGAUCCUGGGCUGUGGUUGGCCUUGUGGAUCUCUAAGUGGGCCAUGUUGUUGUAGUGGAUGCUGCGGCAGCUGCUGUGGAGGUUGCUGUGGAGGAGGCUGCGGCGGCUGCUGCUGAUAAUCGGGCUGAUUUUCAUCGUGUCAGUUUUGGACGGGGACCAAUGGGCUGCCGUUUUGCCAGUACAAUCUCAUCGAGAAAGAAACCACAUUCAACAUCUUCUGGCAAAGGCAAUAUUAUGUGCAUAGUUUAACAAAUAAAGUGUGAGGCUUUUCCUAUAAUUUUCGUGUUUUUAUUGUGGUCUUUGAAGUAUGAUGACAAGAUUAAUCGCUUAAUUCCAGUAUUCGGUUUCAAAGACUGAAAAAAAAAAAAUAAAAAAAUAAAGAAAAAACUCGGGUCGCUGACAGCACAUUUUAUUCCCGAAGCAUAUCGCUCCGAAGGCACUAAGGCACCAGGAGUGGAUAAGCAUCGUAAUGUGAUCUUAGAUACUGCAUGCAUAGCCGCCUUAUGAAAAAUCCAAAAAUUUAUUGAAUUCCUUUCCCUAGAUGUUUGUGGCAAGCUGCGGUACAUCUCAAGCUCUCUCUUUUCCGCACAGUGUAAGCAUCAUAGUGCUUUCUUUUCAUAUGCGCCAUAUUUGAUGUGUUACCACUUGUUUUUAUUAAUUUAAGGCACAAAUUACAUUUUGCUGCUCCAUUUUUAAAGUUCGAAUAAUUCGUUUUUCCAUAUUCAAUUUUUUUUUUUUUUACUUUUUUGCUUGAUUCAUUUAUGACGAGAUUGACCAUCUCCAAUAUAUCAAUAAAUCGCAAAAAAUAUUCGAUAUUUGGCCAAAAAAAAUAUAACGAUAUAAAUAUAAUUUUUAAACAACAAAAUAACGAUAUAUUGAUAUUUUGAUAUAUUUUCGACAGCCCAAUUUUAUACGCCAUAACCAUAUAAGUCGUUAUAACCGGGUUCUACUAUAUAUAUAGCCGAUCGAGCCAUGACUGAUGGAUUAUGGGUAGCUCUUCUACUCCACCGAAACUCGAAUAGAACGUAUUUUAAAUAGUGGAGACUACUUAGUGUUACUUAUUUUGGUUGUGAUAGGUAUCAAUGCUUUUGCUCUCUAAUUCACUGGCUGGUCCUCGCUCGAAAUGGUGCACCGUUUUUCUUAACUGCUUAUCGACUAAAAAGUCCAACUUUCUUAAACUGCUGCUCACAUGGGAAUUAUGGGAUAUUUCGCAUUAACCUUCAAAGCUUAGUCUUUAUAAAUACUCUAGCUAAACGCUGCCAACAUCUUUUCGGUCAAUAGCUCUCAUCUUGUUCAUCUCCAAUUUACUGUUGAAUAUUUGCUCCAAUUACAUCUCUUUUAGUCUUUUUAUUAGUCAAUCUAGUUAUAUUUUCAAAUUGAUUUCAAGUUUGUGUAAUACAAAAAUUUGUAUCUGGUAAAGUUAGCAUUGAGAAGCCUGUCAUCAAUUUUAGUACCUGAGCUCGCACCGUGUUCUAUAGCUUCAGUCUCACACAACUAUUCAAAAGUUCAACAUCUAAAUUUCUAUUAAAUUUAAUUCUGCAAAAAUGUUCAUCGGUCCAGUCCAAAAGGAACAUCUGCACAACAUGAUCCUAGGUUGUGGCUGGCCUUGCGGGUCGUUGAGCGGUCCCUGCUGCUGCAGCGGUUGCUGCGGCAGUUGUUGUGGUAGCUGUUGCGGUGGGUGCUGCGGUGGCUGUUAACAUUGAAUGAGGGGACAAGGACUACACAAGGAUCGAUGUCAACUGAUGUGCAGAAACAUAUAAAAUACAUUCACCAUCUGCUAUUUAAUAUGAAGUGAGGCUGAAAAAUCGACCAUCAUUUGAAAAUCCGAAGUUGUAUUACCUGUGGGCUAAGGAAUGGAGUUAAAUGCUGCAGAUCCCUAAAAAAAAAAAGAGAACAGUUGUUUCGGAACUACAGGAAUGCAGAUUUAGAUAUUUUUUAAAAUAAGAAAAUUUUGCACAAGAUCAAAUAAAAAAUUUUGUUUUGAAAAAUGAA